rnacentral:rRNA from 1 species
AGAGUUUGAUCCUGGCUCAGGACGAACGCUGGCGGCGUGCUUAACACAUGCAAGUCGAACGAACGGAUAAGAGAAGCUUGCUUUUCUUAGAAGUUAGUGGCGGACGGGUGAGUAACGCGUGGGCAAUCUACCCAUAAGACUGGAAUAACUACGGGAAACCGUGGCUAAUACCGGAUAUAAUCAUUAAGCCGCAUGGUUUGAUGAUGAAAGGAGGCCUCUCUUUAGAAGCUCCUGCUUAUGGAUGAGCCCGCGUCCCAUUAGCUAGUUGGUGAGGUAACGGCCCACCAAGGCGACGAUGGGUAGCCGGCCUGAGAGGGUGAUCGGCCACACUGGGACUGAGACACGGCCCAGACUCCUACGGGAGGCAGCAGUGGGGAAUCUUCCGCAAUGGGCGCAAGCCUGACGGAGCAACGCCGCGUGAGUGAUGAAGGCUUUAGGGUCGUAAAACUCUGUCUUUAGGGAAGAAGUCUUGAAAGUGAAUAGCUUUCUAGGUGACGGUACCUGAGGAGGAAGCUCCGGCUAACUACGUGCCAGCCGCCGCGGUAAUUC